rnacentral:lncRNA from 1 species
UAAAGUUUAAUACGUGAGAGCCAAGCAGGCCCUAAGACAAUUCACGAAAUGGCAUGAACCUAUCGCACUCCAUUGUUGCAUUACGGAUAUUAUUUAAGGAAGUUGCCUUUUGCAUCUGACAAGGGCAGAAGUGAUAUGUUCGAAUCCAUGUCUUGUUGUCCCAGUGCCUGCUGAAUCGUCCCACACUAUUCUUUGCUAGCAUAUUUUGCAGGCUGUAACCUGGUUCCUGCUCGAUCCCAGUCAGAGGCAAAGUACUGUAGCACCAGUGUCGCUUUUAACUUCACCAGAUGAUUUGGUUUACAAAAAGAGAGGUGAUUAGCAACGGAAUCCACCCGUCGGCUGCACAGGAAGUAUUGUAUUGUUUUCAGGUCCUGAUAGUGAACCUGACAUUGAUGAUGACUCUAUUUUACAAUGGAUGAGUUAUUAACCUCGGUACUGAGUCAACUGCGCUACUAACCUCGGCACUGAGUGAACUGCUGAUUCAUGAACCUUUACCUUCUGACUGGGUGCUUAACCUCUCAUGCAAGGAUAGUGCAUUGAUCCCAGUGAAUUUUGGCAGUGAAAUACACUAAUGGACACAGAGAACAAGCACAGCAAUCUGAUGCCAAAAAGAAAUCCCUUCCACUCUUAUUACGCACGUUAUUCCAUUCAUUCUCCACUUUGCAAGGGAGAAAACAGUAUGCUAUGCAUUGUUGUUAUACAUACAUACAUACGCAUCAGCUUCGGGUAAUGUACUAGUGUCACCAACUUCUCCGGUAGCCGCGUUCCCUCAUCGAUUCCAUGGUGGUUCAGGUCAGGGAACGCCCAGUGUUCCUCCCGCACAUAUACACCUCGUUUUCUAUCUCGCCCUAUGGUGUCGGUACGGACCUCUAUGGUGUAAGUACACUGGCAGAUAUGGCUAUUUUACCUCCCAGACUUGGUUGCCAAACAGGCCCUAAGGGGGUGUUUGGGAAACCCCUGUUAAAGUUUAACACCUGUCACAUCGGAUGUUUGGAUGCUAAUUAGGAGUACUAAACAUAAGCUAAUUACAAAACUAAUUGCACAGACGGAGUAUAAUUCGCGAGACGAAUCUAUUAAGCCUAAUUAGUCCAUGAUUUGACAAUGUGGUGCUACAGUAACCAUUUGCUAAUGAUGGAUUAAUUAGGCUUAAUAGAUUCGUCUCGCGAAUUAGCACAAGGUUCUGCAAUUAGUUUUAUAAUUAGCUCAUAUUUAGUCCUC